CUCUGAGCAUCUGGUCAACAAGUGCACAUCAGUUAUUGGAAUGAAAAAAACUAAUGACGUAGGAUUUUUUUUUCUCUGUCACUUUGCAAGCCAGGAACCCCCAGCCAGUGACACUCCACCUGGGCCUCCCUAGACCAUGCCGGUGUGCCCCAGCUUGCCUGUGUUACAGAAUGUACCUGAAUUCAGCAGUUCCUGAGCUCUUAUACCACACCCAAGAAGCAUGAGGAUAUGUGGGACAUUGAAGAAUGAGGAGGGCAGAGAAGAAUUUUAUUGAAUGACAAAAACAGCUUUCAAUGGAGACAGGAUGUGAGGUUUAUUGAAGGUUACUGUUGUGACAGAAUGCCCCAAAAUCUUGCUGUUACGGCAUUUUGUUUCAAGGAGUAAUGGCUACAGGAAGAUAAUUUCAGAAGUGAUAUGAGCAUGAUGUCAAAGUUUCCCAGAAGCUGUCUGUCCUUCCUUGGGAGUGAAGUUAUCCCACAUUAUCAUCUCUCUUCAGCUGAGGAUGUUCUCCCAGGAACCGUGCAUUGUUGGAUAGGCUUAAACUUAUUCAACUUGGUACAGAAGACAGUUUACCAUGAGCUAAUUCAGGCAUCCCAGUCACUUGGUGCAAAUGAGAGGAGUGGCCAAGAUGGCUGACUAGAAGCAGCUAAUGUGUGUGGCUCUCAUGGAGAGGAAGGGAAGGGACCUUCAACGGAAACAUCCAUUGAGACUCGCACUGGGGCUAAUCAAGGAAACAGCUUGAUGCAUGGAGAAGAGAGAAAAGCAAGACAAGACGAUGGCCGACCUAAGGGUGACAUGGAGCCAAGGGAAGCUCCCCGCCGACCCAGGGAAGUGGUGCUUCAAUUACGACAGCAUACCGGAAGUCUCCCAGAACACUUCCCCCAAAGCAGCUCUGCCUGUAUCGAUUUUAAGAUGGCAUUUAAUAAUAUGAUUCUACCGCUUAAAAAUAAAGUUUGAAAAUAUUAGACUAGAAGAUCCCUAAAGUUCCUUCCAGUUUAGGUAUCUCUUUUUCUAUUAAUUAAUUGGGGACUCUCUAACCAGAGAACAAAAGGCUAAAAUGCGACUUGAUUCACGUAUUCAAUAGUUCCCCCCAUUUAUGAAAGAGAAGCUUAUUGGCUUUUUCUAGUGCACAGAGGGGCCAACAUGAAAGAAACAGGCUUAGAUUAAAAGAGGUACAUUUCCAUUUGAGUUUAAGGCAAAGACAUGACCAUCAUGAUGGUGAACAACGAAAAUGGAGCAGGUAUCAUCAGCCUGGAAGAAUCAGAAAACUUUUCUUCAGUUGUGGAGUCAAUUAUUUUGAGAAGUGCAUCCUGGCCACAUGAUGAGAGAAGUCAAGAACUUUUAAGCAACUGAUGAAGGAAGGAUCAAUCUAAAAUCUAACUGCAGAGGCAGCUCACUGCAGUCUGAUCUUUCUGUGGAGUUUAUUCAUGUUGUCUGGAUGCAAAUAACAUGGGCACGCUUGAUUCAUAUGCAAAACAGAUACAUAGGUAGUGGUUCUCAACCUUGGCUGCAAAUCAAAAUUACCUAGAGAGCUUUGAAAAAUACUUAUGCCUGGGACCCACCCUAGACCAUUCAAAUGAGAAUCUGUAUAGGGAGUAACUCUUUGCGGGGGCUACAAAUCACAAAAGCGUAGGUUUUCAUAACCAAGGAAAGAAGUUGCAGUCCGGGCUGGCUUUAGUGUUUUGUAUAAAAGACCAAGAAACCAGCUGGGAGACAAGUUGCAGAGAAUGGUGCUGAAAGUUGUGGGAAGGAGUAUCUGUACUGGGAGAAACAAAAAUGAAACCAGUGCUGAUUUAGUUGAUGACCAGGGAAGAGUAGCAGGGAAAUGAUAAAAAUAUAUAGGAAAGGACAUCAAAAAAGGGAGAAAAGAGUCCUUGAUAAAGUAAUAAAAGUAUUGUGAAGAAGCUACUUUUUUCGAGGGUGGUAAA